rnacentral:misc_RNA from 1 species
GAUGAAGAACGCAGCGAAAUGCGAUAAGUAAUGUGAAUUGCAGAAUUCAGUGAAUCAUCGAAUCUUUGAACGCACAUUGCGCCCGCCAGUAUUCUGGCGGGCAUGCCUGUUCGAGCGUCAUUACAACCCUCAGGCCCCCGGGCCUGGCGUUGGGGAUCGGCGGAAGCCCCCUGCGGGCACAACGCCGUCCCCCAAAUACAGUGGCGGUCCCGCCGCAGCUUCCAUUGCGUAGUAGCUAACACCUCGCAACUGGAGAGCGGCGCGGCCACGCCGUAAAACACCCAACUUCUGAAUGUUGACCUCGAAUCAGGUAGGAAUACCCGCUGAACUUAAGCAUAUAAUAGCGGAGGA